AACGUUGUCCAAGGGCGAUGAAGUUCGAAUAAACGUCCACAGUCAACAAGCGGUUGGCUUUCAGCUAACCUCUGCGUUCGCUCUGCAAUAGCGUUAGCUCCGGAGGGCUGGGCGGCUGUUCGGUACCGUAACAUGGUGGUGCAAGCCGUAGUCCGUCCUUGCGGCUCGGCUUGUAGAAACAGCUUCUCCACCGCGAUCUCUCCUCGAUACAGUUUUGCUUCUGUGGGGCCUCGAAGAGAAAAUACCUGGCCAGUUGGAGACCAGUCACGUCCCCUGCCCUGAAAGCUACAUCUCUGGCUGUCAGCAGUGAGCGCACCUCUGUGGUUAUCCAGGGCUAUCCAGGGUUUCACGUCGGUGAAGAUGGCAUGACUGUUCCAACACAUAGCCACAAAGUGGGUGACCUGCCUUGAGCUUCCUCACCGCUGCUGACACCACCAACAACAGCCCAGUCUGAGUAUUUCCGUGGUUGACAGGGCUCCGAGUUAAUCUGGAAGUCUGAGGUGCAGUGGGUGAGCAAGAACUGUCAGAGUCCAGUCCCCUGUGGUGCCCUGUCCUGCUGACCACCCUUUCAGAAACACAACCCUUCAGCUGCACAAAUAGUUGUCUGUCUGUCUGUCAGGUAGUCAGCCACACUGUGAUGUGUGGAGGCAUCCACCUGCAUCUACAGGAGCUUCUCAAACAGUAGUGCAGGUUGAAAUAUUGUAGAUCAAGGCAGACAAUCUUUAAAAUGCUGCUUGCUUUGAUCAGCUGAAGGGAGGUUCGCUAAAUGAGGUGAAUAAUUCCAUCUCCAUCUCCCAGGGAGAUAAGUAACCAU